rnacentral:rRNA from 1 species
AGGGGGCAACCCCUUGAGAGUGGCGAACGGGUGAGUAAUGUAUCGGAACGUGCCCAGUCGUGGGGGAUAACGUAGUGAAAAUUACGCUAAUACCGCAUACGAUCUAUGGAUGAAAGCGGGGGAUCGCAAGACCUCGCGCGAUUGGAGCGGCCGAUAUCAGAUUAGGUAGUUGGUGGGGUAAAGGCUCACCAAGCCAACGAUCUGUAGCUGGUCUGAGAGGACGACCAGCCACACUGGAACUGAGACACGGUCCAGACUCCUACGGGAGGCAGCAGUGGGGAAUUUUGGACAAUGGACGCAAGUCUGAUCCAGCCAUUCCGCGUGCAGGACGAAGGCCUUCGGGUUGUAAACUGCUUUUGUACGGAACGAAAAAGCUCUUAUUAAUACUAGGAGUCCAUGACGGUACCGUAAGAAUAAGCACCGGCUAACUACGUGCCAGCAGCCGCGGUAAUACGUAGGGUGCAAGCGUUAAUCGGAAUUACUGGGCGUAAAGCGUGCGCAGGCGGUUAUAUAAGACAGAUGUGAAAUCCCCGAGCUUAACUUGGGAACUGCAUUUGUGACUGUAUAGCUAGAGUACGGCAGAGGGGGAUGGAAUUCCGCGUGUAGCAGUGAAAUGCGUAGAUAUGCGGAGGAACACCGAUGGCGAAGGCAAUCCCCUGGGCCUGUACUGACGCUCAUGCACGAAAGCGUGGGGAGCAAACAGGAUUAGAUACCCUGGUAGUCCACGCCCUAAACGAUGUCAACUGGUUGUUGGG